AUCACUGAAGUGUACUGAACAGAAAACUUUAUAUGAAAUUGACGUGAAGUAGUUUCACUAAUUUAUUUACAGUGGCUGCACCACUACAGAUGAGUCCUUGUGUCCCCCCAUAAAUAAAUACAUGUAUAAAAUAAGACAAAUAAGGUUCAAAAUGACACAAAUAUUUUAUUCAUGUGUUCAUAAAAGCACCUUCAAAAUUAAAAAACAAAAAAACAAAACCGUAACGUAAAGUCUCAGUAAAAAUCCAGUGCCAGUUAUGCAAAAGAAGCUUCAAAGUAUGCUGUGAUCCUCCCUUUUCCGCUCAGAUUGCAGCCCAAGGGCUAGUCCUAUAUGAAAGGGCCCCCCUUGUUCACCUCCACCAGGGACAAAUAAUAGAGUUUUAAGAGGAUAGGCCCUGGAGUUAGAGAGCUGGGUAUUCACACCUGCAAGUUACUUACCUUCGUUAAGCCUCAGUUCCUCACAUCUGUAAAAUCGGGUUAAUAAUAGUGCCUGAUCUUAGGACUGGUGUAAAGAUUAAUGAGAUAUGAUGGGAUGCAGUUAAAGUAACAUCCUGGCUGAAUGUUUAAUGAAUGGCUGCUUGCACUUAUUUAUUUUGUUAUCCUGUCGUGUCCCAGAAAGUCUUUUGGUAGCUUACAAGGGGACAUCAAAGAUGACAAAGAGGAGUGGAAGAAGACAGAAUCAAUGUGAGGAGCCUGGAACAGGGCUCUGAAUCGUCCUCCCACAAUGAAGUCACUUGGCUAGAGCUGAGCCACGAAUUUGACUCUGAGCAUCUAGGAUGAAAAAGAAGAACUGGCACCUAUGCCAUCUCUGCCCCUCGGGACUGACUACUUUGUCUUCUAGUAAAAUUGAUGCUCCAAGAAGAUACACAACGUUGACCAUGUGGAUUCAGAUAUCUCCUGCUUGGAUCUCAGCCUGGAUCUUGUUUGAGAAGCAUAGAUUAGCUACAGAGCGCCAUGUCGUACAUCCAAUAAAGUUAAACUCUGCAAGCAAGAGAGAGAAGAGGAAGGAAAGGAGAGAAUCUAAAGUGUGUGAUUCUGUUUACCAUUCCACAGAGUAAGUGGCUGCCUGGGAGUGAGUGUGAGAAGGGAGUGGGAGGAAUCUUCUGUUCUUCCCUUGGACCUCAGUUCCAGGGAACUUUUCAGUGUGUAAACAUCUUACCAUGGACAUUCUGGGUUUCAAUUUAAAAAUAGGCAUUUUUGGUUUGACAUAAUCUGUCACUGAAACCAGCUGCUUCAGCUGACGGUCAAACUAAGAGUCAAGGAUUAACUGAACAGUUAGGGACACAGUGGCCGUGGCGAAACUUACUGAGAAAUGGCCAUCUCCCAUGCAGCAUUCUGCUGAGGGAUUUCAAGGGCAUUUUGACUUUUGACUUUUUUACCUGGUGUGCUGACUUGGCGAGCUAACCCCUGGGCAAGAUGCCACUCAAGAAGCUACUCUGUUGUUUAUAAUUAAGACAACAGUUGAGGUGGCCCUGGACUUUGAGGUUUAAACAAUAGUGACUUAAGCUCUUUCUCCUGUUUUCUGGGGGAAGUCCAGCUUGCUCACUGAGAGCCCCGCUGUCUCUGGGGCUGACAGUCCCGUGAUUUGUUCUGGCUCCAGAUGUCCACCCCCGAGGAGCUCUGAAUUCAUGGUCUCACAUGAAGGGACGGCACCCUGCUCUCCCUAUGCAAGUCACUGAGCUUCAUGUCAAACUUGGCCUCUGUGUUUUGUUCCCACCAGGCCCUUCUCCCAAGAAAGGUACACGUGGCAAACUUUACUCAGUGUGGGGACUCAGGAGGGAUUUUUAAAAAAUCAUAAAAAUGCCAAGUUUAAAAUUAGAUCAUAUUAGUGUUGCUUUCCUUAGAAGGAAGAAAAAAAGUUUAAAAAUUAAAAGAAGAGAUAAAAUUAGAUCUUAUAUAUCUCUCUCCUAAAAAGUGCCUUAACAGCCUUGCUGUAGGGGAUGUUGUUCUCACCGACCACUUUUCUUGGAAGAUUCCAGCCUUCUACCUUGUUGUUUGCCUUCUCUGUCCAUAAAACAUUCAAAUUCUCUCAUUUAUCCUAGAAGGCAAUUUAGAUCUACAGCCCCUACACAGUCCUAGACCUCUUUUCUGUAUCUACUAUUAAGUACCACUCACACCAAGGGUCACCCACUCUGAGUUUCAAUCAUUAUUAAUGAAGAAGAGAAAGUGGAGGCUUAGAAAUUCCCAUAUUUUCUUCAUGUCUCUCCACCAGUCUGCAAGUGAAAUAGAGUCUGAUAGAGAUUUA
ensembl:lncRNA